GUAGGGAAUCUUCCACAAUGGACGAAAGUCUGAUGGAGCAACGCCGCGUGAGUGAAGAAGGUCUUCAGAUCGUAAAACUCUGUUGUUAGAGAAGAACGUGCGUGAUAGUAACUGAUCAUGUAAUGACGGUAUCUAACCAGAAAGCCACGGCUAACUACGUGCCAGCAGCCGCGGUAAUACGUAGGUGGCAAGCGUUGUCCGGAUUUAUUGGGCGUAAAGGGAACGCAGGCGGUUUUUUAAGUCUGAUGUGAAAGCCUUCGGCUUAACCGAAGAAUAGCAUUGGAAACUGGAAGACUUGAGUGCAGAAGAGGAGAGUGGAAUUCCAUGUGUAGCGGUGAAAUGCGUAGAUAUCAGGAAGAACACCGGAGGCGAAGGCGGCUUACUGGACAAUAACUGACGUUGAGGCUCGAAAGCGUGGGAAGCAAACAGGAUUAGAAACCCGGGUAGUCC
rnacentral:rRNA from 1 species